UUUUCCAUGGAAAUCGAGGGAUUCCGUAACGAUCCCGUCGAAGAUCGAGAACGUCCCUUGGAUUUCGUGGGAAACGGACCCUAAUGUGCACACGUUUUUCAUACGGACAAAUCGAGACGUAGAGCGACUGUGAGAACGAGGCCGGGUUAUCUUGUUUUUCAAUUAUCUCGAAUGCUGGGAAACUGAACGAGGAUACGAUGGAAGGAUUACGGACGUACUAAUCUGCAUACAGAUUAACUAUUUAUGGACACGUACAGUUAACGAAAGUGCUACUAUCCUUGCUGCAUGCCAAAAUAUUCAUUAAGAUUCCUCAACGAAAGCAUUCAACAAUCACCACCAAGGAAGUGAAUGACCACCAAGACCGCACCAAGAAGGGACAAAAAAAAAAGAAGGGUUUCCCGGUAAUUCAAUUUCCUUUUACCCUUUUCAUACAGUGCUCCAUAA